CUGUAGCUAAAUAAACCAGCUGGUCUCGCUGAAGUGUGGCUCUAUUGUGCAAAGGCUGCAGACUGCGACUCUUUGGUUGGGUUUGUCCUCCGGGUGUGCGGAGUGCUUUAAGGGGACCUUUGAGAUGGAU